rnacentral:ribozyme from 1 species
CGUCGAUUCGACGACGGUAAACAGGGCAUUAGGCCGCAAGUGUGGGCGGGAAUCCGCCCGGUUGCC